GCGUGAGUGAAGAAGGCCUUCGGGUUGUAAAGCUCUUUCGCCGGGGACGAUGAUGACGGUACCCGGAGAAGAAGCCCCGGCUAACUCCGUGCCAGCAGCCGCGGUAAUACGGAGGGGGCUAGCGUUGUUCGGAAUCACUGGGCGUAAAGCGCACGUAGGCGGCGCGUUUAGUCAGGGGUGAAAGGCCCGGGCUCAACCCGGGAACGGCCUUUGAUACUGGCGUGCUUGAGUCCGAGAGGGGGUGGUGGAACUCCCAGUGUAGAGGUGAAAUUCGU
rnacentral:rRNA from 1 species